AGGAUGUGGCUGCGGCCGAUUUAGGUAGACGGUGGGGUAACGGCCCACCGUGCCAAUAAUCGGUAACGGGUCAUGAGAGUGAGAACCCGGAGACGGAAAUCUGAGACAAGAUUCCGGGCCCUACGGGGCGCAGCAGGCGCGAAACCUUUACACUGCACGCCAGUGCGAUAAGGGAAUCCCAAGUGCGCAGGCAUAGAGCCUGCGCUUUUGUCCACCGUAGGGAGGUGGACGAAUAAGGGCUGGGCAAGACCGGUGCCAGCCGCCGCGGUAAUACCGGCAGCCCGAGUGAUGGCCGAUCUUAUUGGGCCUAAAGCGUCCGUAGCUGGCCGCACAAGUCCAUCGGAAAAUCCACCCGCUCAACGGGUGGGCGUCCGGUGGAAACUGUGUGGCUUGGGACCGGAAGGCGCGACGGGUACGUCCGGGGUAGGAGUGAAAUCCCGUAAUCCUGGACGGACCGCCGAUGGCGAAAGCACGUCGCGAGGACGGAUCCGACAGUGAGGGACGAAAGCCAGGGUCUCGAACCGGAUUAGAUACCCGGGUAGUCCUGGCCGUAAACAAUGUCUGUUAGGUGUGGCUCCCACUACGAGUGGGUGCUGUGCCGUAGGGAAGCCGCUAAACAGACCGCCUGGGAAGUACGUCCGCAAGGAUGAAACUUAAAGGAAUUGGCGGGGGAGCACUACAACCGGAGGAGCCUGCGGUUUAAUUGGACUCAACGCCGGACAUCUCACCAGCAUCGACUGUAAUAAUGACGAUCAGGUUGAUGACCUUAUCCGAGUUUCAGAGAGGAGGUGCAUGGCCGCCGUCAGCUCGUACCGUGAGGCGUCCUGUUAAGUCAGGCAACGAGCGAGACCCGCAUCCUUACUUGCCAGCAGCACUGCGAAGUGGCUGGGGACAGUAGGGAGACCGCCGUGGCCAACACGGAGGAAGGAACGGGCAACGGUAGGUCAGUAUGCCCCGAAUGUGCUGGGCAACACGCGGGCUACAAUGGUCGAGACAAAGGGUUCCUACUCCGAAAGGAGACGGUAAUCUCAGAAACUCGAUCGUAGUUCGGAUUGUGGGCUGCAACUCGCCCACAUGAAGCUGGAUUCGGUAGUAAUCGCGUGUCAUAAGCGCGCGGUGAAUACGUCCCUGCUCCUUGCACAC
rnacentral:rRNA from 1 species